UACGUAGGGGGCAAGCGUUGUCCGGAAUUAUUGGGCGUAAAGAGCGCGUAGGCGGUCCGGCAAGUCGGUUGUGAAAGUCGGGGGCUCAACCCUCGGAUGCCGAUCGAUACUGUCGGGCUAGAGUCCGGAAGAGGCGAGUGGAAUUCCCGGUGUAGCGGUGAAAUGCGCAGAUAUCAGGAGGAACACCGGUGGCGAAGGCGGAUCUCUGGGCCAUUACUGACGCUGAGGAGCGAAAGCGUGGGGAGCGAACAGG
rnacentral:rRNA from 1 species